AUUGAACGCUGGCGGCAGGCCUAACACAUGCAAGUCGAGCGGAGCGGCGGACGGGUGAGUAAUGACUAGGAAUCUGCCUGGUAGUGGGGGAUAACGUCAGGAAACGGGCGCUAAUAUCGCAUACUAUCAGAUUAGCGUAGGUCGGAUUAGCUAGUGGGUGGGGUAAAGGCCUACCAAGGCGACGAUCCGUAACUGGGCUGAGAGGAUGAUCAGGAACACUGGAAUGGGGAAACGGUCCAGACUCCUACGGGAGGAAGAAGAGGGAAAUAUUGGACAAUGGGCGAAAGCCUGAUCCAGCCAUGCCGCGGGGGUGAAGAAGGUCUUCGGAUUGUAAAGCACUUUAAGUUGGGAGGCGUUACCAACAGAGUAAGCACCGGCUAACUUCGUGCCAGCCGCCGCGGUAAUAC
rnacentral:rRNA from 1 species